AUAUUAAUUUUCAAAGUGUCCGAUGAAAUGCAUUGGCGUUCCAGUUAUUUUUGUGUUUCAAUGCAUAAAACAGCGCUUUUUUGAAAGAAGUAACUGGUACGCCAAUGCAUUUCGUCGGACACUUUGAAAAUU